rnacentral:lncRNA from 1 species
CGGCAAUGUCUUGACUAUGACGGUCGGUGAGUUUAGUUUACUUCGAUUUGGCUCUAAAUUGUCGUAUAUAUGUAUGACAUUGACCGUCAACAACAAUUUUUCGAACAAUUUUCACAAUCGGACACACAAUGCCUCAAAUAUGCCGGAUUUCCGAACAAUUUACGAUAAUAUCUGUGAUUAUCUGCAAGCUCCACGCCGUGUUGUCGCUGUCGUCUGGCGCUCCCAAUUCAAUAACGUUGUACAAAGACAAGGAUUUCAAAGGCACCCAUUGUGAAAUUCAAGUUGAGGGGUGUAAACCGAUGUGCCCUGGAAUGGAGAGGAAAGCUUCAUCCAUUCAAGGAAACGCCACCUGCGCCCAUUUUUUUCGCGAGAAAAAUUGCCAGACGUACAUUGGCACCUGGAACGCAACCUUUGGUCCGUAUAAAAACUUUCAGGGUGGAGCCGGCCAAGACUCCAUUGUUUCUGUCGGGGACUGCUCUCAACCUAUCGAUCCAGAUUAUUCAAUCUCAUUUUACGAGCACAAGGACUUUCGCGGGAAGAGAUGCAACAUUCAGAUGCCGUCGAGAGGUUGCAAGCCGAUGUGUCCAGAUCUAGAAAACCGAGCCUCGUCCGCAUUCGGGAAUGGCGUCAGCUGCGCCAAAAUGUACAAGGAGCCGAAUUGCAAGGGAUUUUUGGGGAUUUUGGACUUCGCCGGGUUCGCUCAACCAGAUUUCAAAGACACAAACCUCCAAGAUAGCAUUUCCUCUAUCAGCGACUGUUCCAACAGUUCCAUUUCAUUUUACGAGCUUAAAUACCUUAGCGGGAAGAGAUGUGACAUACCCGUGAAAGGCUGCCAACCAAUGUGCCCGGAGUUGGUAAAACUAGCUUCCUCUGCCGAAGGCGAUGCGCAAUGCGCGAACGCUUACAGCGAGGCCAAUUGCAAGGGGUUUUUAGGCACCUUGAGGUUUAGCGACGGCGAACCCUACAAUAACUUCAAAUACGGAGAGUUUCAAGAUUCGAUUUCCUCGAUAGGCGAGUGCGUUAAAAACAACACCGUUAUAUUUUACGAGCACAAGGAUUUCGGCGGGAAGAGAUGCGAGAUGCAGGUGAAGAAGAGCUGUCAACCCAUGUGUCCGGGAUUGGAUAAACAAGUUUCAUCCGCUCAGGGAUUCGUCGAUUGCGUCGAGAUCUAUGCUGCCGCCAACUGCACCGAUCCAAUAGAUUAUUUGAAAUUUAGUGAGGGCAGUUCCAACGAAGAUAAUAGAGAUUUCUUUGGUGAAAACAAACAGGACGCAAUUUCCUCCUUCCAGGCAUGUCUAUAAAUGAAGAAUUUAGGAUCCAAUAGGCAAAAUGAAAUUUUUUGUCGCAAAUUAAUAUAUAUACAUAUAUAAACAGUGGCUUAAAGUCAAAUUCGAAAAAAUAGAGACACAAAAAAAUCAAUGUGAGGUGAUAUAAGAGGAAAUUUAUUCCCAAAAAUUUUGAUAAUUUUAAACAAUUGUCUAAAAGUAAAAACAAUGGAUUCACUGAAAAUUGUCUAAGUAGAAUUUUAUAAUACUCCUCUUGACGU